AUCCAAAAAAAAAUGUGUCACACGAGUACGUCUCUACCAGCGAGUCAGCACGCCUCGUUCAAUUAUUAUGCACGCCGUUUAAAAGAAAAUAUUAUAUUUUCUUCGUCUUCCCCAAUUCUUUCAAAUGUUAGGGUUUUAACUCCCGCCUGGUGCUUCAAUUUCAGUUGAAAUUUACCUAAGAAACGACAUAUUCAGUGUUCAAUAUGGAGAGCCGAGACAGAAGCAGAAGUCCUGGUUUAGCCGAGUGAUUCAGAAGCAAAGCCCUGUCUUCUUAACCUGAUGCACCUAAUUUCUCUCUUCAACAGUUGGGAUAUUUAACUGUCUUCUCUCUCGUGUGUUCAUCCCAUUCAUUCUAAAAUCCAAUUAUGGUGAUGACCAGGACAGGACCUUCUUUCCAAGAAGUCGCACUGCGUGUGGGUUCCUGCAAUCUCAAGGCAGACCUUGACCUGGGAAAGUUUGACCCUACUCUCCAUAUAAUGAUUGAGUUUCUAAAAAGUCACCCUAUUCACAAACCUUUGACUAAAUCAAUCGAGUUUCCUUUAAGCAUCAUUCAUACAGCAUACUCCAGUGCCAUUUAUGACUCUGAUGAAGAAUACAUCGAGUUCGACAUCAAUAAAGAUAACACUAUCAAACUCUGGAAGGCUGAGUUCCUAGAGGCCAUUGGGCUUCCAGAGAGAAAGGAAAAAAAGACAUUCUAUGAACCCACAAAUGAAGAACUUUUUGACGUAUUGGAUCAAAUGGGGUAUUUACCUCCAAGGCUUGAAAUGACCCCAGACUUCAAGAAAGGUAAGCUUCCAGGCAUUUGGCAUUUUUUGGUGCACAUCAUUGUACGUUGUCUCACAGGAAAGGUUGGAGGAACUAGCACACUAAGUAGGGCUUUUCUUGUACUUCUUUUUGGUAUUUACACUGGGAAGGAAGUCGACUUUGGAACCAUUAUCUGGAAGGAUUUUGCUGGUUGUGUGUUUCCAAGGAAGAAGGAAAUUCCUUGUGCAAGGUUUUGGGCACUUGCACUCCAAAAAGUGUAUACCAAACUGGAUGUCUCAUUACCUGAAGGAGAAGAGAUGUUCACUACUGGUACUGUAUCCCGAUAUGCUAUUCCAGAUCAAGCUGAAUUCGGGAAGGUUGCUCGUCUCCCUGAAGCAAUGCUUCAAUAUAUUGAAAAGAACUCUGAAGUUCUCAUUAGACAUAUAAAGGAAACAGAUCCUCUAGAAACUGGACACCCUAUCCAAUCCUCACAACCAGUUAGGCCUACUGAGGGACAUACUUCAAGUCCUGCACGUAAAAAACAAAUUGCUUUGAAUGUAAAGAAGACUACUGGUCUUGGAACCAAAAGAAAAUGUGAGACCCUUCCUGCCCCUCAAGCCAAAAGACCUACAAUCGGGUCACAGUCAUCUACCUCUCAUGUCUCUUUAUCCUCUGAAGAAGAUGAUGUCUCACAAAAAAAUGGGGAUAUAGCACAUACACCACCCCCUUCCUCUCAAAAGCAGACCCCAGGGAUACACUCACAUAUCAAUCUUGAGGCUACAGAGACAAGUCCUUCUUUCCACACUACCCGACUUGAGAAGAACUUAUGGGGAUCUCCUGGACAUAAUACUAAAGAUCAAGGAUCCCAAGGAAGAGUUUUUGAGCCUAUGCUGAAAUCAAGCUCAAUCCCAGGCAAAGAGUCUUGUUCUAUGGCACACCGACCCUUGCAAACAGGAUUCUUUGGAAUUUCCAUUGGUGAGGCGGAGGUGAGAGCAUCAGAGAGUGAGAGUGUAAGGCAAGCAAGAGAUGAACAAGAGAGGCAAAAAAGAGAGGAGAUAUUGAGAGCUGAGCAAGAGAGAUUUUCUCAGAUAUACUACAAUAAUAUAUACCUGUAUGAGCAAAUGCUAAGAGAGCAGAAAAUAAGAGACGAGAUGGAAAAGGAAGAAUCGAAGAAAGUGAAAGCUGUGAAACAUGCAGAAUAUAGAAAGAAAAGAAAAGAGGUUUUAAUGGAGAAUAAGAGGAAAGAGGAAGAGCUAAAAGCUAAGAUGCAGAGAGAGCAAGAGGAAAGAGAGAAAACUGAAGCUCUAAGAGAGGCUGAGGCAAAGAAAGAAGAGGAGCGAAAGGAAUUAGUGAGAAUGUUGCGUGAGGAGCAACAAAAGAGGGAAGAGGAAGAGUGGGCCCAGACUUCUGCCAAACUUCUUGAGCAGGCCAUGUCUUUGGAGCCAUCCACAAAGACUGGUAUGGAGUCUGCUCAAGACAUGGAAAAGGACUUUGUGUUUACUGCUGAUGAUGGACUCAUCCAAGACUCUGAUUCAAACUCCAUUAUGGAGACACUCAAACCCUCCAAAUCUACUAUUUUCUUGGCAACUUCAGAAACAGAAAGUCAGGAAGCUCCCAAAGGAGAGACAAAGACAUUUCCUACCACCACUGUGGAGACAUCCAAACCUCGCAGACGCACUAAAUGGAAGAAGAAGAAGAAAUCCAAAUAUAUCUCUAGGGUGGAGUUUAAUUCCCUCAACCAGAAGUUGUCUCAGGUUCUAGAGGUGGUAAACAAGAUCCCUCCAUCUAAGGAGAAAUUUGUGACCAAGGAAGAGUUUGGGGAAAUGCAGAAGAUUGUGACAUCCUUAGCCCAAAGUGUUCCUAAUCUUGAGACAAGGGAAAAGAUGCUUCGGGAAUCAUUUGUCAAAUCUACUGCAGAUGCUCUGAAGAAAAUGGAGCAGAAGAGGACCAAUGACACAUUUAAGUAUUUGGAUCGAAUGGAUGAUAUGUUGAAAAUGGUUAAGGAAAUUCAACAGUCCUUUGAUGAUCUCACCAACACCAUGGGCCACCAACAUGGGGAUGAGAUUGUCCGUUUAAAUGAGCAGCUUUGUGAUUAUCGCAACAAAAAUAUAAUUCUUCAGGCUGUUUUGGUUAAAGUAAUACAGUCUGCACAACAACUGCUAAGACCCUGCAACAUAAGAUUUGAUGAAAUCCUCUUUGCCAUCCAGAAAGUUCAAAAUUCUGUGGAUGUCCUUCCAAAGACUCUGUCCAAUGAUGAGCUAAGCAAACAGGUUCCACAAUCGUUCCAAAAAGUGUUUGACCUGAUAGAGAACUUAAAAGGUUCAAGGUUUGUAGAUGAAGCUGGAGAAGAUGAAAACGUGUUGAUAACAGAAACUUCUCCUUCUCCCGAGAUAGAUGUGGUAUCCAAACCUCAAUCACCUCCUCCACCUCUAAAGACCACAAUCCCUCCCACUGAAUGUGAGAUUCACGAAUCACCAAAAAUUCCAUCUCCUCCCACAUCAUUUGUCAUGCCUCCUGCCCAAAUCAUGCCAGAGUUCCCUGAAACCCCCAAAGCUCCCAUCAAUGAUAAAGGCAAAAUGCCUUUGGAGAUUUCUGAAUUGAGUCUGAUGAAAACCUUUCCAGUGUGUGAGAAAGAGAUGAAGCAACAGGUGAAGGAACACGCUUUAACUCUGUGGGUCAAUGACAUCAAACAAUUAAGGGAUGAUGAACUUGUGCCCAAACAAACUACAGCUCCUCCCUCUUCAGACAAGUAUCAGUGGGAUAUACCCAUGUCUCCAAAUGCACGAUAUUAUUCAGUCUUCCAACAACUACAUCCACAUCUCUCAAGGGAAAUGCAAAUCCCAAUUGAGAUGAACCGACUAGAGGAGUUUUUCAAGGCUCAUGCUCAGCCCCCAAAAGAUGUAUGGUCUCUCCGGAGGAUCAUAAGAGUCUUAGGAUAUAAGAAGAGGUCUUUUCAGAAGGAAGAGUACUUUGGUUUUGAAGUGGUGCGAAGCGAUAACAAAAAAUAUUUCUUCUCUGAAGCCGAUUUUCCUAACCUCAAUCCUAAUGACCUAUAUGUGAUUGCCAAACACUUCCAGACCAAACUCCUCACUCAUCAACCUUCACGAUUUCCCUUUCUCCAAAUCCAGAGAUUUCUAAGGUCUCUGACCUAUGAUCUUGGCAGCAUUGAUGCAGAACGAUUUGAUAGCUUCGUGGAUAAUCCACCCGGAGAGAUGAACCAAGAGCUGGAAGGAAUUGAAAACAGACAUCGAGGACCUACCGAGGAUCCUGAACUUGGGAUCAUCUUCUCUAAUGAAAAGGGUAGUCCGAGGCUCUUUUUCCGAUUAAAACAGAAGCAUCUCUGCAAAACGGAGUUCCUUGAAAAGAUGAUCAAUCUUACUUUAAGGUCCAAUGCCUCUGCGGCUUUAAAGGUGAAGAUCAUUGAAGAACUAGAGUGGUGGGUUGCGGUUCGUAAGUGGAUCAAGAGAGUAAAAAGCCUGGUGACAAACAAGAUCUGAACAUGGUCCAACAAAUGUCAUUUUUGCAUUGAAAACACUAGAUAUAAGUAUCUUUUUGGCUGAGAUUGGAAGGCAUUCGAUGAGUGGGAAGCAUACAGAAUCAAGGAUUUAGACUAACAAGUGAAAGAGAAUAUUGUUGAAAAAGUUAGAAGAAGAAGUCUCAUGGGGUGUGGUAAUGGUGUUUUGUUCUGGAAUUAAGAAGAUGGUGAUGGUGGUCUUUUUGCUCUAUGUCUAGUACUGUAGCAAAAGAGUAAACAUUCUUUGAUGGGAGUGGUUCGUUUCUUGUGGUGUGUAAUCAUGGGUUGGGGUGUUUUGGUGUGUGACUUCUUUUCAUUAUAGCUGAAGGUGUCUGGACACCAAAGAGUUGAUUUCUUAUACAAGCAGCAGUUGUUGUGGUGGUGGUAUUCAAGAUUGGUGAUACUGCUGGAACAGUUGAUAACAUCAUUAUUACAAUAAUGCAAAUGAAGCAAGCACUCAAAUGCUGGAAUGGAGCUGUGGUCCCCACUUCAUUUGAAACCUCUCCGCUCGAUCAAGGGAAACAACAUAUGAGAAAUUGGUGAUAAUAUGUCAAAUACACCAUGGCAUCCUACGUGGCAAUGAAUCAUGUCUUUAUGUUAUGUGGCAUCCUACAUGACUGGCAACUUGGCAUCACUAGAGUCUAGAGGUGCUGGAGUUUGAGCUCACUCAACCAAAACCAGUUGGUUACUAUUUUCUUUUCUUGCAAGUGGAGGUUGCUGUUACAAUUUACAAUAUGGCAUGAAAGUGGCCCACAUAUCUCAUCGAUUGUCAUUAGUGAUUACCAUUUGGGCUGUUUUCAUAUAAAAAUAAUAAAAAAACAUGUUCAAUAGUUAGGAAUAUGAAUUUAGAAACUAGGAAUAAUAUUGAUCAAUGGAUUACAAAUAUUAUCAGAGUUAUUGAUUAUUAUUAUAAUCCAACAUUUAUAAGAUGAUUGUAACCUUUUGGUUCUUGUUACUAUUUUAAUACUACAAAAAUGCAAUGCA